GUGGGGAAUAUUGGGCAAUGGGCGAAAGCCUGACCCAGCAACGCCGCGUGAAGGAAGAAGGUCUUCGGAUCGUAAACUUCUAUCCUUGGUGAAGAUAAUGACGGUAGCCAAGAAGGAAGCCCCGGCUAACUACGUGCCAGCAGCCGCGGUAAUACGUAGGGGGCAAGCGUUGUCCGGAAUGAUUGGGCGUAAAGGGCGCGUAGGCGGCCCGGUAAGUCUGAAGUGAAAGUACUGCUUUUAAGGUGGGAAUUGCUUUGGAUACUGUCGGGCUUGAGUGCAGGAGAGGUAAGCGGAAUUCCCGGUGUAGCGGUGAAAUGCGUAGAGAUCGGGAGGAACACCAGUGGCGAAGGCGGCUUACUGGACUGUAACUGACGCUGAGGCGCGAAAGUGUGGGGAGCAAACAGGAUUAGAAACCCGGGUAGUCC
rnacentral:rRNA from 1 species